GUCGUGAGAUGUUGGGUUAAGUCCCGUAACGAGCGCAACCCUUGUCCUUAGUUACCAGCACGUAUGGUGGGCACUCUAAGGAGACUGCCGGUGACAAACCGGAGGAAGGUGGGGAUGACGUCAAGUCAUCAUGGCCCUUACGGCCUGGGCUACACACGUGCUACAAUGGUCGGUACAAAGGGUUGCCAAGCCGCGAGGUGGAGCUAAUCCCAUAAAACCGAUCGUAGUCCGGAUCGCAGUCUACAACUCGACUGCGUGAAGUCGGAAUCGCUAGUAAUCGUGAAUCAGAAUGUCACGGUGAAUACGUUCCCGGGCCUU
rnacentral:rRNA from 1 species